AGUCGAUUAGUUCAAAAUUAGAACGGCAAACUGAUAAUUUGCAGACGAUGGAGAGUUACCAUCAUCGACUA
rnacentral:tRNA from 1 species